rnacentral:rRNA from 1 species
GCUUAACCGAAGAAGUGCAUCGGAAACUGGGUGACUUGAGUGCAGAAGAGGACAGUGGAACUCCAUGUGUAGCGGUGGAAUGCGUAGAUAUAUGGAAGAACACCAGUGGCGAAGGCGGCUGUCUGGUCUGCAACUGACGCUGAGGCUCGAAAGCAUGGGUAGCGAACAGGAUUAGAUACCCUGGUAGUCCAUGCCGUAAACGAUGAGUGCUAGGUGUUGGAGGGUUUCCGCCCUUCAGUGCCGGAGCUAACGCAUUAAGCAUUCCGCCUGGGGAGUACGGCCGCAAGGCUGAAACUCAAAGGAAUUGACGGGGGCCCGCACAAGCGGUGGAGCAUGUGGUUUAAUUCGAAGCUACGCGAAGAACCUUACCAGGUCUUGACAUACUAUGGGGGGGGUAAGAGAUUAGACGUUCCCUUCGGGGACAUGGAUACAGGUGGUGCAUGGUUGUCGUCAGCUCGUGUCGUGAGAUGUUGGGUUAAGUCCCGCAACGAGCGCAACCCUUAUUAUCAGUUGCCAGCAUUAAGUUGGGCACUCUGGUGAGACUGCCGGUGACAAACCGGAGGAAGGUGGGGAUGACGUCAAAUCAUCAUGCCCCUUAUGACCUGGGCUACACACGUGCUACAAUGGAUGGUACAACG